UACGGGGGGAGCAAGCGUUGUUCGGAUUUACUGGGCGUAAAGGGCGCGUAGGCGGCCACUGCAAGUCGGUUGUGAAAUCUCCGGGCUUAACCCGGAAAGGUCAAUCGAUACUGCGGGGCUAGAGUGCAGAAGGGGCAACUGGGAAUUCUCGGUGUAGCGGUGAAAUGCGUAGAUAUCGAGAGGAACACCUGCGGCGAAGGCGGGUUGCUGGGCUGACACUGACGCUGAAGCGCGAAAGCUAGGGGAGCGAACGGG
rnacentral:rRNA from 1 species